GCUUCUCUUAGGGAGCUUAAAACACGGAUUAAUUCAGGCUCAACGUUUGCUAAGCACAGGUCCACCCAGAGGAAGUUUUUAUGUCGAGGUUUAUACAUCUAUUUCACAGUGAAACCCCUGGAUUUGGUGUUAUCAGACAAACAGAACGAGGCAGAAAAGGCAGUGCCUGGCGCCGGGGGAAAGGAACCAUCUGGUCUCUACCGCGCCGACACAAUAGGGAAGGGGUUGAGUUUGGCAGCUCGGGAUUGGGAAGCAUAUGGUACAUUUCCUCUGAACUGGGCAUUUUCUGGCUUCCCCCUCUGUGUCACAACCUUCCCAGCCCGCGUGGGCUUUGUAUGAAGCUUUGUCGUGCUGAAAAUGAAGGCAGGGAGCAGCGCAGGGUCCUUCCUGUGGGGUUGUUCCAAAGGAGGGUGAGUGCGGAGGCGAAGCACAAAAAUAUCUGCCAUCUCUUCAGAUUGAAGAGUCAGUGGAAUCAGUUCCUACAGACAGUGUUUUAUACAAGGUGCUUGCAUUUUAUUUCUGGUUCUUGGCCUUUGUACAUCUCCAGCAAGUGGAGCUCCUUGUUCUCCUGCACCUGAAAACAGGUGGCCAGUCUGCAACUCCGUGCAGGCAUCCAAAGCCCGCCCACAAUAGCACUAAAGACGAUUAUGCAAAUGUUCCCCAUUCCCUGCUAUUUUCCCAGGAAUGGGAGAAGGGCUCCAUGUGGAAGAAGCAAUUGUUUCCCAGUCAUGUGGAAAACAAACCAAGAGAAAGAAGGGAGGGAAUGUGAACCGAAGAUAGCAACACAUCCCUUCUCGGAGCUGGAGAUGCCUGGAAUGAUCCUACCGGAGCGCGGAUAGCAGGGGUCAGAGCCCGAGUUCAGAGCCCAGGAAAUGUAUUCUUCAUUCCAUUGGACAUUUUCCUUGUGUUCUGCCACGGGACAAAGCAGCUGAGAGAGAGAUGGCAGCUCUCCUUCAGCUUGAGGCACCACUCCAGAGAGAGCGCCGGCACAAGCCGGAGCUUUGGGGAAGAUGGGCACGACAUCAUCUGGAGAUCUGGGAGCCUGGAUUCUGGCUGAGCUUCUUCCACUUCCACAUCUUGCUCACAGAAUAAAUAAAAUACAAAUGUGGAAUCUGAGACAAUGAAUUUGCUCCACUUCAGUCCUCCAGCGAUUAUUAAUUUUAACUUGUUUCACUAAAAUACACUGAUGACACGGGUGUAAAAUUUAUCCUUAAAAACUACUAGAAUGUUUCUUGUAUUUCAGGCACAGCUUUUCAAAGCCGUGGCUUGAAUCAGCCAUUUUUACCUCAAAUGCUUUUCACCUCUCCCAAGUAUCAAUUUUCCACCUAAUUACUCAUGUAGAUAACCCAGCUCUUCUUCUGCUGUCCCACUGAAUCCCAGGAUUCAGUAGGACACAAAAAAGACCACAGGCAAAUGACUGUGAUCCAAGUAACCAGAAGCCUGCAACUUUAUUAAUUAUAAGUUAGGCAUGACUAAUUAUAAUUCUAAGGGCAGGACUUUCCCUUCCCACAGAGCAGCGGGUACCAAAUGGAUGCCCAGCAGCAUCAAUGGGUCAGAAGUAGCCACAGAUAAACAACCUGUGCCACUGAAUUUUACACAGGUUGAGGAUUCAGCUCUGCACCUGAAUUCUUUAUUCUGUUACUGAAGAAAUUGUGGCUGGCCCUGGAUCCAUCCCUGGAAGUGUUCCAGGCCAGGCUGGAUGGGACUUGGAGCAGCCUGGGAUAAUGGAAAGUGUCCCUGCCCACGGCAGGGGGAAGAAUAGGAUGAGCUUCAAGGUCCCUUCCAACCCAUUCCAGUCUGUGACUGAUUCUAAAGGAACCAGGGUUCUACAGAUGAUAUCAGAAGACUAAAAUAGGAAAUAAUCAUCUGAGCCUUGCUUCAAUAAAAAUUAAAUCAAUUUAAA